AUAGUCUGGUUUCUCUUCAGAUCAUAUAACUCUUUCACCUUUUACCGUGGGGAAACAAUUUCUGUGGGGAACAAUUCUGAGACUUAACCCAAAUUUUUGAGGCCUUGCAUUUGCAGGGC